CAUUCCUCCGCCGCUGACUCAGCCCCGGGCGAGGCGAGGCCGUGGUGGCUUUGCGCGGGGCGCGAUUGGCUGCAGGGGCGGAGCGCAACUCGAUUCCACCCCAGCCGGGAGCGCGGCAGAGGAGGAGGAGGAGGAGGAGGAGGGGCUCCAGCUGCUCGCUGCUGCUGUCAUUCCCCAAGCCAGACGACUUUGCAUUGGCGAUAAAAAGGCGGCUUGUUGCGCUUCGUCUCGCGCGCCCGCACUUUUGCUGCCUCGCGAAGGACACGCCCGUCCGCAAAAGCCCCCCGGCUAAGCGUAGAUGAUCGCCAGGGAUAGCCGCCCGCUUCUGGCCCGAUACCUCUUGCCUACAGAGUCUGCCAACUUUCUCUGCUUGAUCUGUGCCAUGUUCCAAUGACGAGGGAGAAGGAUUUCGAGAUCUUUCAGGACAAUGUUUCCCAGUCAUCAAGAUGCAUUCAUGUUCUUACAAGCUAUGUGUCUGCUGCACAACCUUAGUCUCCAAACACCUUGGUGGUGGUUUUCAGGCUCUUUUCAUAUGUACCACCAAAUGUUUCUACUGAAUGUAAAAACACAGGUGAAAUCUGUAAAGAGAGGGGGAUGAUGGUCAUAUUAACUGCACAUAAUUGGUUACAUUCGGUUUAAUUCAUUGUAGUUUUUUUUUGUAUCAACUUUCUGGGAUGCAGCUAAUGUGUCUCUUUGCCCCGCAAGAUUGUGCACCAUUGCACAGAUUCAAUGAUGGCUCUCUUCCUGUUAAUUAAAAUAGGAAAACACAACACAA